rnacentral:lncRNA from 1 species
GAGACAACUACAUAAUCAGUAAUUAUGAAGUAUUUCUCAUUCUUUACUCCAUUCACUCAUGACAAUCCUAGGAAAACAAAUUCAGCUCACAGAACACUACUGAAUAAUAUGCAUCAGCUGGGAUGUAAAAAUGAACCUACUCUGAAAAAGGCAUUGAUGCUGAUUUAUGUCAUCGAGGAACACUGACAGCCAAAGAUGCUGAACCAUACUCUAGAUACACAACCCUGGCAGGUACACAGUGACCUAUUUGGCCUUUGAGAGAAAAGGAUAUUACCCUGAGACAGUUCACCCUCAACCCUUCAAGUUUCAGUAGUGAGUAACUGCUAGCAUAAACUUUAUU